rfam:Thalassotalea sp. PP2-459 NODE_11_length_40044_cov_32.633030, whole genome shotgun sequence.
CGUAUGGUGCUUAGCGAAAUUGGUUCGACUGAGUGGCGAUACGGCCCAUAUUUAGAGGU